AGCGAACGCUGGCGGCAGGCCUAACACAUGCAAGUCGAGCGGGCACCGCAAGGUGUCAGCGGCAGACGGGAGAGUAACACGUGGGAACGUGCCCUUCGGUUCGGAACAACUCCGGGAAACUGGAGCUAAUACCGGAUACGCCCUAACGGGGAAAGAUUUAUCGCCGAAGGAGCGGCCCGCGUCCGAUUAGCUAGUUGGUGAGGUAAUGGCUCACCAAGGCGACGAUCGGUAGCUGGUCUAAGAGGAUGAUCAGCCUCACUGGGACUGAGACACGGCC
rnacentral:rRNA from 1 species